ensembl:snoRNA
ACAUCUGAAUCUUUCCCACUCCUCGCAAUAUAGUGCUGACUGGAGACAUGCGAUGCCACAGGAAAGCGGAGGAAAUCCAGACAAGCUCCCUUUCACCACAGUGGGACUUGUCUCUACACCUUUGCAACAUUU